rnacentral:lncRNA from 1 species
CUCCUGGUCAUCAUUCUAUGUUACAGCAGAUGCAUAUGCAAGGGAAUCUUCCUCCACCUCGUUUACUCAGAGGAUUCCCAAGGGGCGUACCUCCACCAGCUCAUCCCAGCAAUCCGAUAACUAGUUUUAUACAGGAACCAAACCCAAUGCAACGCUUCCCAUUGAGUCGACAGUCUCCUUUUGAUGGCCCUGGCAUGCCACUCCAAGGUAACAGUAUUUGAUGUUUUUUUAAUAAUUAUUGUAGCUAACUUUAGUGUGCAAUAUAUUUCGACCCCUUCAGAUAUUUUGAUUGUAUUGAAUUAGGGAUUGUUUUCCAAUGACCCUUGAUGAUUAUUGACACAGAAUAGUGUGAUGCAAAUAAACUUUCUACAGCUAAAGUUUGUUGCACAUGCUCCCAAACACCGUUUAGAUCUAUUCCAUUUCCCGUGCAAUUCAUUUGUGGAUGAUAUGGAAGUUCACAAUUUUGAUGGUUGUAAUCGAGACUUACUAGAUAGAUUGAUCGUAAUUCGAUUGACCAUAGCAUUGUAUUUUGCUCUUCUAGCCAAAGAUUGCAUGACUUAUGUUUACAUAGUUAGUUAUUCGCAAAUCAUGACGCCCCACUUUUAUUAUAUAAAUCAUAUUAUUGGUUGAUGAUUUUCUGGCUUACACUUAUCUCAUCAGCCUCGAUGACUAAACAGUUUAUCCGAGCAUGUGCAUUCGCAUUUCCUGGCUUACAUACUUGCUUAUACUCUACCUACACACAUACACAUGCACUUGCACAUAUAAACUGACCCACUAUAUAUGUGUUAGUCUCUGAUUGAUGUGCUCAUCUAACUGCUUCUAGCUUUGAGUGACAAUAUUCACGGUCAUCUAAUACUUGUAAUUUAGUAAAGCUAUUUGGAACAUAGCAUGCCUUAUUGUAUUGCAAAAAACAGCUAAGUUUUUUAUUUUCAUUUUCCUCCUUUUAACUUAUUAUCAAAUCCUGAUUUAUACUUGUUGGCCAUUUUGUUAGUGCCUGAUGUUGUCCGCGGAAGAAAUCAUCCAGAAACGCUUCAGAAGCUUCUUGAGAUGGAACUCAGGUUACGCGCUAGCCCCGGAUUUUAGGUAUACAAAGUGUCUCAGUUACUGAUGUAUAUAGUACAUUGUAUUCAUGAACUGUUGUACUGAUCUACAACUCCUGCAUGAAAGAUAGUUUUUUUAUAAGCGCAGGAAAGAUGGUUUGAAGGAUAAUUUACCUUACAGUGGUAUAUUACAUUUUUGGUGUAACUUUUUACGUUAUCACGAGAGUAGUCUGUUUUUUCAUAGAGGAUAUCGUACCUCGAGCCACGAUACUCUAACCAACCUUUUUUCUCUAAACUUUCUGUAUGGUAAUCUUGUCUAUGAAAUACUUUAAAAUUGUGGGCUUAAAGUAGAGUUCUAGUGGGACAAAAGUGGUACCAAAAUCUUGGUCUGGAAGUAUGAGUUCCAUGGGAGAAAAGUUGUGCACCGGAUUUAUGACUUCUGGGAUAGGCAAACAUACACUGAACAGACAUGUAAGCGGUAUCCUGCCAUCAGAAAGAACUCAUCAGCGGUUAGGUUUUGAUGACCCACAGGGAGAUGUUAAUUCACUGCAACUUCAAAGUAAAUUUGUCAAGGCUAGUGGUAUCAAUGGCCCUGAUGAUAUUCACUUUCCUGAGGAAGAUAGCUUGACUGCAGUUGGUGGUCCUCUCCAAAACUUUUUGUUUGCUGGCAAUUCAGCUAAAACCGAUUUGUCCCAAGACAUACCAGUUGACAUUACUGGAAAGCAGGCGGCGCUGAACCCUGCAUUCAGAGUUGAACAACCUGUUAUGGGAAAUCAAGGUCUAGCAUACUCUCGUAGUCCUUAUGAUAUGAGGGAAUCAGGUAUUCCAUAUCAGAAUCUUAAUGUCCAACGAUCCUCUCAUCUCCAGCCCCCUCAGUUGAACCACACGGAUCCAAUGUUCAAUCAACUGAAUUCUCAUGCUCAUGUUAAUCCUUUUAUGAAAUUCAUGACUCCUGAGGGCAUGGUUCAUCGUGAAUCUCCACCGAAUCAUCAAUUUCAUGGAAAUAUGCAUCGUCCUCCUUUUGAUCAACCAAGUAAUGCUUUAACUGGGUUUGAUCCUCCUGGUCAUCAUUCUAUGUUACAGCAGAUGCAUAUGCAAGGGAAUCUUCCUCCACCUCGUUUACUCAGAGGAUUCCCAAGGGGCGUACCUCCACCAGCUCAUCCCAGCAAUCCGAUAACUAGUUUUAUACAGGAACCAAACCCAAUGCAACGCUUCCCAUUGAGUCGACAGUCUCCUUUUGAUGGCCCUGGCAUGCCACUCCAAGGUAACAGUAUUUGAUGUUUUUUUAAUAAUUAUUGUAGCUAACUUUAGUGUGCAAUAUAUUUCGAC